rnacentral:rRNA from 1 species
GACGAACGCUGGCGGCGUGCCUAAUACAUGCAAGUAGAACGCACAGUUUAUACCGUAGCUUGCUACACCAUAGACUGUGAGUUGCGAACGGGUGAGUAACGCGUAGGUAACCUGCCUGGUAGCGGGGGAUAACUAUUGGAAACGAUAGCUAAUACCGCAUAAUAUUAAUUAUUGCAUGAUAAUUAAUUGAAAGGUGCAAUUGCACCACUACCAGAUGGACCUGCGUUGUAUUAGCUAGUAGGUGAGGUAACGGCUCACCUAGGCGACGAUACAUAGCCGACCUGAGAGGGUGAUCGGCCAUACUGGGACUGAGACACGGCCCAGACUCCUACGGGAGGCAGCAGUAGGGAAUCUUCGGCAAUGGACGAAAGUCUGACCGAGCAACGCCGCGUGAGUGAAGAAGGUUUUCGGAUCGUAAAGCUCUGUUGUAAGAGAAGAACGGGUGUGAGAGUGGAAAGUUCACACUGUGACGGUAUCUUACCAGAAAGGGACGGCUAACUACGUG